rnacentral:rRNA from 1 species
AUUGAACGCUGGCGGAAUGCUUUACACAUGCAAGUCGAACGGUAGAGGGGGCAACCCCUCGAGAGUGGCGAACGGGUGAGUAAUAUAUCGGAACGUGCCCAGUCGUGGGGGAUAACGUAGCGAAAGUUACGCUAAUACCGCAUACGAUCUAAGGAUGAAAGCGGGGGAUCGCAAGACCUCGCGCGAUUGGAGCGGCCGAUAUCAGAUUAGGUAGUUGGUGGGGUAAAGGCUCACCAAGCCAACGAUCUGUAGCUGGUCUGAGAGGACGACCAGCCAAACUGGACCGGAGACACGGUCCAGCCUCCUACGGGAGGCAGCAGUGGGGAAUUUUGGACAAUGGACGCAAGUCUGAUCCAGCCAUUCCGCGUGCAGGAUGAAGGCCCUCGGGUUGUAAACUGCUUUUGUACGGAACGAAAAGGUCUCUCUUAAUACGGGGGACUCAUGACGGUACCGUAAGAAUAAGCACCGGCUAACUACGUGCCAGCCGCCGCGGUAAGAC